UGAGGACGGCGGGAGGGCGCAGCAGCCAUUUUGCUCUGAUAAUCCCCGAGCGUUCAAAGCUUGAAGCUGACCACUGCAAAGGCCACUUGUCACAUUUACUGAAAAUCAGCCUAUUGAUAUCACAGCUGAAAAUAUAAACUCGACAACCAAAGCCCAUUGCACAACGUGGACUGCGUAAGAGUUAAAAAUAGAUUCGACGUGCCUCCUACCUGCAUAAUAAAUAUUCCGUCAAAAUCCUGAGCAGUAUUGACAAACCACACGAGCACAGGGUCUGACUGCAUGAUCAGCUGUCUGUGUCUACGCUACACCCUGUUAACCACAAGCAGUGUUAGAGCUAAAUAUAUCUGCAAUGCAGAAACGGGGCGAAUGAGAACCAUGCGGCAGUUUACUAUAACCUGAAUUACCUUCCCAGAAGGCUAAACCAUCAGGUGAGGUAAAACAAACCGUAAGAUCUACCUGUUCAGAGAGCAGAACCCCCCACACACUAUUUCAGUGACUUCUCACAGCUUCCUAUCUCUCUACCCGCAAAUACCGCAAGCUGAUACCCAACACAUGAACAGCAUUGUGAAGAUGAACAUGUUAGCUCGGAAAAUAUUUCACUGAAAGAUUUCUUUAGGUAAAUAUUGUUUACCCUAUGUAUAAGUGAAUAUAAAUGGUUUCUGGCCAACUGCUGAAAUAAAUAGAUCCUUGUGAGGCC